AGCUCAAGUGGUAGAGCGUAUGCUUAGCAUGCACAAGGUCCUGGGUUCAAUCCCCAG
rnacentral:tRNA from 1 species